rnacentral:rRNA from 1 species
GAUGAACGCUAGCGGCAGGCCUAACACAUGCAAGUCGAGGGAGAAGCCCUUCGGGGCAGAAACCGGCGCACGGGUGCGUAACGCGUAUGCAACCUACCUUUCACAGGGGGAUAGCCCGAAGAAAUUUGGAUUAAUACCCCAUAAUAUUAUUGGAUGGCAUCAUUUGAUAAUUAAAAUUACGAUGGUGAAAGAUGGGCAUGCGUCCUAUUAGCUAGUUGGAGUGGUAACGGCACCCCAAGGCUACGAUAGGUAGGGGUCCUGAGAGGGAGAUCCCCCACACUGGUACUGAGACAGGGACCAGACUCCUACGGGAGGCAGCAGUGAGGAAUAUUGGUCAAUGGUCGGAAGACUGAACCAGCCAUGCCGCGUGCAGGAAGAAUGCCUUAUGGGUUGUAAACUGCUUUUAUAUGGGAAGAAUAAGGAGUACGCGUACU